rnacentral:rRNA from 1 species
UACGUAGGGUGCGAGCGUUGUCCGGAAUUAUUGGGCGUAAAGGGCUCGUAGGCGGUUUGUCGCGUCGGGAGUGAAAACAUCCAGCUUAACUGGGUGCUUGCUUUCGAUACGGGCAGACUUGAGGUAUGCAGGGGAGAAUGGAAUUCCUGGUGUAGCGGUGAAAUGCGCAGAUAUCUGGAGGAAUACCGGUGGCGAAGGCGGCAUCCUGGACCGACAUUGACGCUGAGGAGCGAAAGCUAGGGGAGCAAACGGG